rnacentral:rRNA from 1 species
AACGAACGCUGGCGGCAGGCUUAAUACAUGCAAGUCGAGCGGGCACUUCGGUGUCAGCGGCGCACGGGUGCGUAACGCGUGGGAACAUGCCUUUAGGUACGGAACAACCAAGGGAAACUUUGGCUAAUACCGUAUAAUAUCUCUGGAUCAAAGAUUUAUCGCCUAAGGUUUGGGCCGCGUUAGAUUAGGUAGUUGGUGGGGUAAUGGCCUACCAAGCCGACGAUCUAUAGGGGGUCUGAGAGGAUGUUCCCACACACUGGAACUGAGACACGGCGCAGACUACAACAGGAGGCAGCAGUAAAGAAUAUUGCACAACGGGCGAAAGCCUGAUACAGCCACGCCGCGUGAGUGAUGUAGGCCAUAGGGUUGUAAAGCCGUUUUAGAUGGGAAGAUAAUGACUGUACCAACAGAAUAAGCCCCGGCUAAAUUCGUG